UCUGCUCCCUCUGGGCCAAUGCGAGAGCGGAGCUGCUCGCCCGCCUCGCGUUCUGAACCCAGAGUGAGCGGCGCUCGGAGAGCGGAGGGACAGACCUGCAGGAGCCAGGGCUGCCCGCGGGCUGCAGUCGCCUCCGCCUUUGCUGUCGCUGUCAGCGCCCUCUAAAGAGCCGCAGAGCCGGCGAAGCCGGAGAAGCAGCGAGCCCCGCGCCUCUACCAAACAGGUGCACGCACGAGCGAUCGAUCGCCCGAUCUCAGGUAACCAUUCAUGAGCCUGAGGCUGUGAGAAAUGCUUGCUGUGCAAAGGAGAACUCUCACCAGAUUUUCUGAAGCUGUCCCAGAAAUACAUUUCUCAGACUGAGUCAGCAUUACCAGCUUAUCCAACAAAAGUAUUAACAUAUUCAUUAACAACGUCGAAAGUAGCUUACUUUAAGAGAAAAUAUGCAGAAGAAGAAGAUUUACAUCAGGAUUACCAUGGGUAUUUUCCAAAACACCUGAUAUUACCUGAAGACAGAACUUGCAUUCUGAAACUUUCUCUGGAGAAGCUCAGGUUUCUAGAAGACCCAGAAACCUACUUAAGAAGGUCUGUGUUAAUUAACAAUUUGCUGAGGAAGAUACAUCUAGAGACGGAGAAAGAGAGCUAUGAAUACUUUAAAGAAGCUCCCUGUUAUAAGACUGCUUAUUCUGAUACAAGAAAACGGCUGAAGUUUAUGGUACAGGAAUGCUGUUCUCAGUCUCUCUAUUAUGAGGAGCUGCAUUCAUAUCAUAUUGUGCCUUAUGCUUCGGAGAAUGCCAUUUAUGGAAUGGGCUACACUAGUAGCCACUUGGAGCAAAAUUCUCAGUUGCUUAUUUAUAAAAUGAAUUAAAGUAACUGUUAUGUCCACUGAUACUUUGUUUCUAAAUGCCUGAAUUGUUUUAGUGAAGAUGUUCAUAUAAGGCACCAAUUACCGGUGCACUUGAUAUCAAAGAUGAGAUGCAUGCUGAACUGAUCGGAGAGAACCAUGGUUAUUACUCAGCAGUCCUUACUAUGAUCAAAUUGAAUUCCAGAUAUGUCCACUUAUCAGUGACUUUGUGCAUUAGAAGCAAAAAGAUUUUUUUAAAGAUAAGGUUUGUAAUUUUUAAGCCCCAUUUCCAAAUUUUGCCACUCAUAGUGACAAGUAACAAAAAGCAACAUAUUAACUUGAUAAGAUGUCCCUGAGGAUUAAGGGUAGAAUUAUUUAAUGUUCUCUGAAUGAUGAGAAGGAGGGUCGAUGCUUUCUGAAUUUCUUUGGCUUGUGAAGCAUUGUGCCAAAUAACUGUUAGAUACUGCUCUCCUUUUACCAUUAGUGGCAAUUCAGGAAGGGGGAAAGCAUAUACUCCAACUUAACUGCUGAAUGUAACAACUGGAUUCCUCCAAACGGAUCCAUUUUACUAUUUUUGUUCAUUUGUUUUUUUGGUCUUAAUAGACUUUUUCUUUUUUAAAAACAGAAUUUAAUGAAAUAACAUUACAGAUGAGCUUAUCUCUAUAGGGAUUAAAAUUUGUGCUGGGCUUUUAAGAGUUUAAAUUUUAUUUAUGAUGUUAUAUUUUAAUAGGCUGUGACACUCAGGAAAAGAGUGGGCAGGAAAAAUAUUUUUAAUGGGUUGAUAAUUUUUUUAAAAUCUCAUCUGAAAAAAAUAGUAAGGGCAACUGAAAUUCUACGUGAUGUUAUUUCUUCAUUUAGCUGAGAGUGCAUUUAAGGCUGCCUGGCUGUAAUUUUGCACUGAUUUCUGUAUGAUAGUCGGUCAUUCACUAUUUGACAAGAUGUUUUAGAAUGCACUUGGUGGUGAAGUCAGAUCAGUCCUUAUGUUUUACAGUUUGAAAGAUAAUUAUUUAACAGGCUGGAUAUAUUCGUGACAUUGCUUGAAGUGAUUCAUAAUGUUCUUUGAGAUUUGAAUGAGUUGUCUGAUUUCAGUGUGUGGAGUUUUUGUCCUAUGGAGCAUAUUGUUUAAAGAAUUGUCAUUAACUGAUAAAAGAUUGGAAAAACUAGGUGCCAAAGGUGUAUUUAAGAGAAUACCAAAGACUCAAAGAUGAGUGUUAAGGAGACUAUGAUGAUGAAGAUAAGAAUCUAACAUAAAGGUUGCACAGGUCAUAGAGUUGUGAAAAAUUUUAGAAUAAUUUGCUUACCAAUGUGCUUUCGGAAUAUUUUAUACACAAUAAUGAUGACCAUGGACACUGCUUUAGCUGAAGAUAUUACAAGCUUUUGGUAAUCAUAUUCCUGUAUAAUAUAGUUAUGGUGACUUGUCAAUAUAGCAUCUCUCCUAGUACAAACCCACUUAUGACCAAGAUGGUCUUUUUCUAGUCAAGAGAAUUUUGUUUUAAUACUUGGAUCUUCUCAUGAAUCACCAAGAUAAUUAACACAGAUGCAUUUGGUAUAAAGAAUGUUGGUACCCUAGUUAGCCCACAUCGUUGAAGACUAUGCAUACAAUUGAUAAUAGUGUCAGCCUUCUAUUUAAUUGUUCAAUCAAAAUUAGGAAAAGAUGACUUAAAAGAUAUUGAAAUGUUAGGAUUGAAGUAAAAAUUUUAAAGACAGUUUAGUAUGAACAGUGAGAUAAUUUGAAGUAUGGAGAUAUAAAAAUUAAAAAUUAAUUUAAGGGAAAAAUUUGGCUUCAAGGUUUAAAAUUUGAUUUCAUUGCUUUUAAAAGACCUUAAUUCUCAGAACACUUCUUUUAAAAAUUUAGAUUUAUUUUAAAACGGGAAUAGUCCAAGACUCCAAAUUUAAUGGGAUAGUUAUACUCUGAUAUAAUUUAACAAAUAGAAUCAGCGCUCUGAUACAUUUGAAAUUUUGACUGAAAUGAACUUAGGCUUGAUUAGGACAGUGUCUUUAAGGGAAAAUCCUAUGCUCAUAGAUAGAACUUUUAAAAACCUCAUGUUGAGAUUGGUUGAAGAUAGAAAUAUACAUGCUUUGGAACAGAAAAGGAAGGGAGAGGAAAAUUAUCAAGAAAGUGGGAAAUUAUAGUAUUUAUUUUAUCAGAAAACUUAGAGCAAAACUCUUGAGCAAAGAAUGAAUAACAUAUUUAAAAGCCAGUUUUACCAGAUGUCAUUAACUGAGCUCUCUGAUCUAUACAUUUAUAUGUAGAAAAAAACCCUUAGAAAACAGCCAUUUUUGUGAAAUGUUUUUCUUUUUUAAGUGUUAAUUUCAAAACAAGUUAUUUAAAAUACAUUUUAGGGCAGUUAAUUUUUUCCAAUAAACAACUCAUAGAUGGGCAGUUGACGAAUAUUAGCUUGAUUAAAAAAUUGUAUUUAAACUCUGCAAACUUGUCUGAGUUUACAAGUAGGUUACUGUCAUUUUACCAUGGCCAGCUGAUACCCAAGGAGACCCUAUAAAGGUUUGCUCUUCUGACUCUUCCUACAUGUCCCUUUAUGAGAGAAGAGAAAGGUAGAGAACUAGUUACAGUUAUUUUGAACCAGGGCACCCUUUCUCUGGGGCAAAAGGCGUACGUAGGGUAAGGAAGCUCACAUGGGAAAUCUGAGUGCCUUUGGUAAUAUUGCUCAACUCCUUUGGUAAUUUUGUCACUCCUUUGAGUACCCAACCAGCUUAAAAGCCUAGCAAGUAAGAAAAACAUGAAAAAAGAAAAAGAGGAAAAACGAAGAAAAAACGACAAAAGACAGGCGGACCAGAGAAACAAGGAGCAAGAUUAGUAAGUGAAAGAGAAAAGUUGUUUCAUGUUGAGGGGCGUUGCUUGCUUGCUGUAUUCACUUUUUCUUUCUUGCAUUCACUGCAUACCAAAAUACCUGUUACCUGCAGUGUAUUGAUACUUUCUUUCAUUCAACAACAAUUCAUAAGACUAGAUUCUAUUCAGCAUAGAUAUUAUUUAAAAUGUGAUAUUACACAAAAUACACCUAUAACUGAACUUUCUGGGUGGAUGAGCAUAGAAAAUAAUUAAGUUGGGAGAGAGACUAGAUGGUGGGAGUGUGUGUAAACGGAUAAGCGCAAGUACAUUACCUGUUUUCAGUGUGCAUCCCAAGAUUUAACAAAUUCAGUGCAAGAGGACUUGGACAUUAGUGCAGUUCACCACCACUUAUUGAGCAGCAAUUGUGAGCUGGAGCUUUGCCAGGGCUGGAGAUACAGAAGCGAGUGAUAUUCAAUUCCUUUGCUCAGUUUACUACUGAUAAAAGGAAGAAUUCAAACAACUCCGUUUUGUCUUAAAGGGUAAGGGCCCUUUCUUGGGAGUAACACCUGCCUUUCUCUUUCCCAUACUGGGAUGGUUAUAAAACAGGUGUCUCCAAAAGUGUUUAUAGGUGAGAAGGUGAACAAGGACAAGAGAGGUUCUACGAACCCAGCUCAGACGGUGGGAAGCUACCAUGUUUUGCAGUGUAUUUUAUGGUCAGGAGCAUACUAGAAAGCCAGUGUUGCAAGGGGAAGCACAGCUGGCUCUGCUUUGUUCCUGGGAUGUCCCUGUCCGGUGGCAGGGUAAUUAAUGCAAGUAGGGAACCAUCGCUUCUCCCUGCGUCUUUCAGGCAUUUGUGUUCUUUUAGCGGGGAAAUCAGGCUUCAUGUGAGUGUCAAAGAAAGCCUUAAGGAGAAACAGAAUCAGCAAAUCGUAGCCUGAGAGCUGUGUGUGGACUGUGCCAAGUCAGAGUGCAGCCUCCUUUCCUUUGCCUUGUGCUGGAGAAUUGCUUGAAUGAACCUCAGGAUUUCUGAACACCAGCUACCGGGGCCAUCCUGCUUCUGUUUUCUUUGUGCAUCACGGCCUGAUUUCUGUUCUUUGGAGUCCACUCUAAGUAGAAGUUAUGGUGCAGUCCUUCAUCCCCACCUUGUCCCUUAGCACCAAUCCCAUCUUGCUCAAAGAUACUUGGAGGAAAUCAACAGUUGGCAGUACUGGCUAAAGUUUGAGAAAGGGUUUCUAGAAUGUAUAAAACUAGAAUGCAUCACAGUAAUAAGAUCAUUAUUGGCUGGUCAUAAUUCUUUUAAAAUUGAUUGUACUCAGUCAUUAAGUAAUUGUUUACUGCGGUAAUGUUCAUGCUUCUAGAAUUCAGUGUAAUAGUUGUAUAUGUAUUGCUAAAGAAAAUAUCUUACAUUGGAAACAAUAGAAGAGUGUAUAUAAUUAAUUAAAGGACUUCAUGAAUA